UGCGCGUCUCUGCCUUUUGGCUAAGAUCAAGUGUAGUAUCUGUUCUUAUCAGUUUAAUAUCUGAUACGUCCCCUAUCUGGGGACUAUAUAUUAAAUCCCAUUUUUAAAGAAAUCUAAUAAAGUUUUAUUUUUAACCGUUUAUGAUGGAAAAUUUCCACAUCGUUGUAAUAAUCUAGGGGAAUAGAGUAC